rnacentral:misc_RNA from 1 species
GAUGAAGAACGUAGCGAAAUGCGAUACUUGGUGUGAAUUGCAGAAUCCCGUGAACCAUCGAGUCUUUGAACGCAAGUUGCGCCUCAAGCCAUUAGGUUGAGGGCACGUCUGCCUGGGCGUCACAUUUCGUUGCCUGAUGCCAGUUUCCUCGUGAUGGGUGACUGUGCAGGGCGAAUGAUGGCUUCCCGUGAGCAUUGUUGCCUCAUGGUUGGUUGAAAAUUGAGUCCUUGGUAGGGAGCGCCGUGAUAGAUGGUGGUUGAGUGACGAACGAGACCCAAUCAUGUGAGACCCCUACCGAAUUUGGCCUUCAUGACCCACAUGCGUCUUUGGAACGCUCAUGACGAGACCUCAGGUCAGGCGGGGCUACCCGCUGAGUUUAAGCAUAUCAAUAAGCGGAGGA